UACAGAGGGGGCAAGCGUUGUUCGGAAUUACUGGGCGUAAAGGGCUCGUAGGCGGCCAACUAAGUCAGACGUGAAAUCCCUCGGCUUAACCGGGGAACUGCGUCUGAUACUGGAUGGCUUGAGUUUGGGAGAGGGAUGCGGAAUUCCAGGUGUAGCGGUGAAAUGCGUAGAUAUCAGGAGGAACACCGAUGGCGAAGGCAGCUCGCUGGGACGGUACUGACGCUGAGGCGCGAAAGCGUGGGGAGCAAACAGG
rnacentral:rRNA from 1 species